UACGAGGGGAGCUAGCGUUGCUCGGAAUCACUGGGCGUAAAGCGCACGUAGGCGGUAUCUUUAAGUCAGGGGUGAAAUCCUGGAAGCUCCAACUCCAGAACUGCCUUUGGAAUACUUGGGGGAAUCUACGAGUCCGGAAGAAGGUGAGUGGAACUCCGGGAGUGGUAAGAGGUGAAAUUCGUAGAUAUUACGGAAAGAACACCAGUGGCGAA
rnacentral:rRNA from 1 species